GGCUUGGUGGUGUAGUGGUAACACAUCUUUUAUAUAUUUGUCGGUAACACAAUGGUUUACGAGGAAGUCCCCUAUUCGACUCAGGGUCAGGCCA